GUAGUGUGACCCCUUUCUUUCUUCACUCGCCGCUUCGUACAUUACUAAAAUAAAUAAAAAAACAGAAGCAAAGGCAAAACCUUUUUCUCUUAAGUAACACGAACAAAACCUUUUCCCUCCAACACUCAAAAAUAAAAAUUAACCCUUUUCUCUCUCUUACCGCCAUUGAUGUCCAACUCCGCUCAGGAUCCGACCUCUUCUCAUGGCCUUCAUCAUCACCUCCAGUUUCAGCUUCCACAUCCUCACUCACACUACUCCUCUGCUUUCUCUUCACCUACUAAUCCGCAAUUUUUCCAUUCUUUUCCUCACACCCAGAGGCCUCCUCGCGAUCAUCGUCCUCUUCAUCCUUCUUCACAAAGCUUCGACCGCCUUGGCGUUUCCGAUAUCUCUAACGAAUCUCAUCCAGGAGCUGACUCUGCUUUUACAAAGCUUGAGUUAACACAAUCAAAUGUUAAAGUUGAGACUGGCAUGAGUGGGGAAAUAGCUGUAUCUGGACUGAGCAAAGUAGUUAAUGGUCAAAAGCACUCUGGACAAAGAAAGCAUAAUUCUAAAUCAAAAGUUCCCAGACAAUCCAUUGGAUCCCAAACGUUGAAAGCUGAGUCUCUUAAUGGUUUCAUUCCGCCGAACAGUUGCCGCUUUGAUAGUUCUUUAGGCUUGUUAACUAGGAAAUUUGUCAACUUGAUUCAUGAAGCUGAGGAUCGAACUCUUGAUUUGAACCAUACCGCAGACAUAUUAGAAGUUCAAAAGAGGAGGAUAUAUGAUAUUACAAAUGUUCUUGAAGGAAUAGGAUUGAUAGAGAAAACUUCAAAGAACCAUAUACGCUGGAAAGGAAAUGAUUUGAUGGGGAAACGAGAGUUGGAUGAUUGGAUUGCUGCAGUAAAGGCUGAAGUUGAAAGCUUAUACGCUGAAGAAUGCAGACUUGAUGAGGAAAUAAGGAGUAAACAAAAUCGGCUUUGGGCCCUAGAAAGAGAUGAAAACUGUCAAAAGUACCUAUUUUUUACAGAGGAAGACAUUUUGACUCUUCCAUGCUUUGAGAAUCAAACACUCAUUGCAAUAAAUGCUCCAAAAGCUAGUUAUAUUGAAGUUCCUGAUCCUGAUGAGGAUUUGAGUUUUCCACAAAGACAAUAUAAAAUGAUUGUUAGAAGCACCAUGGGACCAAUCGAUGUAUAUCUUUUAAGCAAAUACCAAAAUGAAAAUGAGGACACAACCACCAACCGAGCAACCUCUGAGGGUUUAUCUGCAUGGGAUGUUGGUUGUUGUGGAAGGGAAGAUGAAGUGAUCUACUCAGAUCAUCCGGGUGAUCAAAAAAGUUGUGUAGAUAAUCUCAGCUCACUAGGUCCAAAAUCAUCUGGAAUUCAGAAGAUUAUUCCUUCUGAUGUUGAUGUAAAUGAUGAUUAUUGGUUUCGAUCAGAUCCUGAUGUAACCAUUACAAGUCUUUGGGCAAAUGAGGAGUGGACGACGCAAGCAGAUGGACUCUUUCAAGAAAAUACUGUUGAAACUAGUACAAAACUAGCUCGGUGACAAGCUGACUGAGUCCCUCUUAUAACAGAAAAGUAAAUUAGUUGAAAAAUUUCCAGGGUUGGGAGGUAACUUCACGGAUCUGAUUUGGUAACAGUGAGAUCCUGCUAUCUGGAUCUGUACUUUAAUCUGGACCACAGCAGACUGCUAAAGAUCCUUUUUUUUUUCAAAAAAAAAAAAUUUAAUAAUUUAAUCUUCACCUAAGCUGUUCUCUUUUAAAACUUUCAAAGUUAAUUUUAGUAUCAAUUCAAUAAAUUUAUUUUAUUACAAACAUUCAGAUUAACGAAACUACUCUAAAAACAAGUUUUAGAGCACGAAAACAACUCCAAAACUUACCGAGCGUUAUUGUAUUAUCCUCUUUGUUUGGUAUGAUGAAACAGAAGAAUGGAUUAAAUGGUAUGGAAUGAAGUUAUCUUUA